CCCAAUCCACAUGACCAAGACCGGAGGGACUCCAACCGCGCUCUUCCUCGGAGGCACCUACGGUACGGCCGGUCGCCCGCAUCAUGGGCGACGGGAGGAACUCCAGCCGCGCUAUUCAUCGUCAGAGGAGUCGCCGGGGAGGCGGAUUAGGCACGGCCUGAGCGCUGCUGGGCCCCAAGUUCUCUCACGGGCAGUGCGGUUGGUCGACGGCGGGCUGCGGCUGCUCGACACUGUGAAGGUGGAGGCCACGAGGCGCCGGCGAGUGCUAGUGUGCGGCGAGGGCGCCGCGGCAGCUCGGGGCCGGGCGAGGCCUGGCGCGCAGGGGCCCGGCCACGGGUGUGGCGCGGGCGCAGCCGGGCGGCGGGGGCGCUUGGCGCGACUGCAUCAACAUCGACGACUGCGACAUCGGAGGAGCCGCUCAUGACGCGCAUGCCGAAGGGCGACCCUGUAGAGGGCCGGCGCCACCGAUCUGCGCGGAUCCGCGUUUCCGUCGCGGGACGCGAAGCCGGUGGUUUCGGUCGCUCAGUCGAGUGCAGGGUCGAGGCUAGACGCUGAUGGGAAGAUGGCGAUGAGCGCUACCACCAGUCCAGCGAAGAUGGAAUCGCCCUUGAAGAGUUAAUUAGAGAUCGAGAGAUUCAUGUCGUUGCUCUGCAUGAUGCAAGGCUGCCGCUUGGAAGCGUUUCCGCCGGGCUGAGGUCGUCCAAUAAACGAGUGGCACACAGAUGGAUUCACUCCGCCGGGAGCGUGCUGGUAACGUGUUGAAAGAGAGACGAUCGAGAGAUACCACAAAUGAUUCAACUGCGUAUUAUUUAUUGAUGAUUGAAGCUUAUAUACAAUGGAACGGUUGCCUCCGAGGGAGGCGACGGUUCGCUGAA